rnacentral:rRNA from 1 species
UACAUGCAAGUUGAACGAGAAAGUAUCUUCGGAUGCGAGUACAGUGGCGGACGGGUGAGUAAUACAUAGGAAUCUACCCAAUGGAGGGGGAUAGCUCGAGGAAACUCGAAUUAAUACCGCAUAAUCUCCACGGAGUAAAGAGGGCUUCGGCUCUCGCCAUCGGAUGAGCCUAUGCAAGAUUAGCUUGUUGGUAAGGUAAUGGCUUACCAAGGCUACGAUCUUUAGCUGGUUUGAGAGGACGACCAGCCACAUCGGGACUGAGACACGGCCCGGACUUCUACGGAAGGCAGCAGUAGGGAAUAUUGGACAAUGAGCGAAAGCUUGAUCCAGCCAUGCCGCGUGUGCGAUGAAGACCUUAGGGUUGUAAAGCACUUUAGGUUAUGAGAAAAGAUUUGGUAUUAAUACCACCAAAUUUUGAUGUUAAUUUCAGAAUAAGCACCGG